CAGGCCAUGGGAAGACAUUACCUGUUGAUAACACAGACUAUUCUCAUGAUCAUGGGAGGUGUGAGAGAAUUGCUGCUCUUUGUGAUGACUGUGGGGGUUGUCAAAGUUUCUUGUUACCCUGUUGGAAAGUCCCAGAAGCAAGAUCAAGUCUCUCUGCAGAGGAGACUUGGAGAGCUGUCAUCAAAUGACGUCUCCAUUGAGCAUGCCCUGGCCUUGCUCCGAUCCAUAGGGUCUGACGCUAAACAAGACAGAGAAGAGUAUUUAGAGACUAACGAAGUAGAAUCCCAAGCUUCUCCAAACCAUGGUAGCUCUCAGGCAAAUGAUGCCCUGUCCUCUGAGGAGAAGCUGAGGCGCAUGUCCUCUGACGACGCUGCGACUGGCCCGUCUGACGACGCUACCUCUGAAGCUGCGACUGGCCCGUCUGACGACGCUACCUCUGAAGCUGCGACUGGCCCGUCUGACGACGCUACCUCUGAAGCUGCGACUGGCCCGUCUGACGACGCUACCUCUGAAGCUGCGACUGGCCCGUCUGACGACGCUACCUCUGAAGCUGCGACUGGCCCGUCUGACGACGCUACCUCUGAAGCUGCGACUGGCCCGUCUGACGACGCUACCUCUGAAGCUGCGACUGGCCCGUCUGACGACGCUACCUCUGAAGCUGCGACUGGCCCGUCUGACGACGCUACCUCUGAAGCUGCGACUGGCCCGUCUGACGACGCUACCUCUGAAGCUGCGACUGGCCCGUCUGACGACGCUACCUCUGAAGCUGCGACUGGCCCGUCUGACGCACGCUACCUCUGAAGCUGCGACUGGCCCGUCUGACGACGCUACCUCUGAAGCUGCGACUGGCCCGUCUGACGACGCUACCUCUGAAGCUGCGACUGGCCCGUCUGACGACGCUACCUCUGAAGCUGCGACUGGCCCGUCUGACGACGCUACCUCUGAAGCUGCGACUGGCCCGUCUGACGACGCUACCUCUGAAGCUGCGACUGGCCCGUCUGACGACGCUACCUCUGAAGCUGCGACUGGCCCGUCUGACGACGCUACCUCUGAAGCUGCGACUGGCCCGUCUGACGACGCUACCUCUGAAGCUGCGACUGGCCCGUCUGACGACGCUACCUCUGAAGCUGCGACUGGCCCGUCUGACGACGCUACCUCUGAAGCUGCGACUGGCCCGUCUGACGACGCUACCUCUAAGGAACUGUUCACCGCUUCAUCGGAGCCCCCGUUGACCACAAACAUGGAUAUCUGACGUGGGACAUGGUGCUCGGGGUCCAUGCAAGAGUUCAUGGGUACUCUAGUCCAGGUUGUCUGUGUGUGUAACUGCAUUUGCUUGUUUUGGCUCAAUUAAACAUUAACUGUAA